ACUAUGAACUUACACUAAGGGCAUGUUUGGUUCGAAGUCGGAGUCGAAAUCAGAAUCGAAAUCAAAAUAAGCUGGAAUCGGAAUCGGAAUUACUCAUUACCUAAUUUUGUUUGGUUUAUCACCUGAAUCGGAAUCGAAAUAAAUCAUUUCCAUUAUCGCUGUUUGGUUUAGGUGGAUAUAAAAAACGUAAUCAAAUUAAUAUACUAACAUUAUCUUUAUAAUAUAUUAAUUUAAAUUCAAAUUAAAAAUUAAAUAUUAAAAAUUUACUUUAAAAUUUUGAAAUAAUGUCAAAAUUUUAAAUCUAUUUUUUUUU
rnacentral:lncRNA from 1 species